GCUCUCGUAGUGUAGUGGUUAUCACGUCUGCUUCACACGCAGAAGGUCCCUGGUUCGAACCCAGGUGAGAGCA
rfam:Trichinella pseudospiralis scaffold3s, whole genome shotgun sequence.